AAUAGAUACCCGGGUAGUCCACGCCGUAAACGAUGAGUGCUAAGUGUUAGGGGGGUUUCCGCCCCUUAGUGCUGCAGCUAACGCAUUAAGCACUUCGCCUGGGGAGUACGGCCGCAAGGCUGAAACUCAAAGGAAUUGACGGGGGCCCGCACAAGCGGUGGAGCAUGUGGUUUAAUUCGAAGCAACGCGAAGAACCUUACCAGGUCUUGACAUCCUCUGACAACCCUAGAGAUAGGGCGUUCCCCUUCGGGGGACAGAGUGACAGGUGGUGCAUGGUUGUCGUCAGCUCGUGUCGUGAGAUGUUGGGUUAAGUCCCGCAACGAGCGCAACCCUUGAUCUUAGUUGCCAGCAUUCAGUUGGGCACUCUAAGGUGACUGCCGGUGACAAACCGGAGGAAGGUGGGGAUGACGUCAAAUCAUCAUGCCCCUUAUGACCUGGGCUACACACGUGCUACAAUGGAUGGUACAAAGGGCUGCCAAACCGCGAGGUUGAGCGAAUCCCAUAAAACCAUUCUCAGUUCGGAUUGCAGG
rnacentral:rRNA from 1 species